GCGGAUGUAGCUCAGCUGGUAGAGCAUCACCUUGCCAAGGUGAGGGUCGCGGGUUCGAAUCCCGUCAUCCGCU
rnacentral:tRNA from 1 species